UACGUAGGGGGCAAGCGUUGUCCGGAUUUAUUGGGCGUAAAGAGCGUGUAGGCGGCCAGAUAGGUCCGUUGUGAAAACUCGAGGCUCAACCUCGAGACGCCGAUGGAAACCAUUUGGCUAGAGUCCGGAAGAGGAGAGUGGAAUUCCUGGCGUAGCGGUGAAAUGCGCAGAUAUCAGGAGGAACACCGGUGGCGAAGGCGGGUCUCUGGGCCGAAAUUGACGCUGAGGAGCGAAAGCGUGGGGAGCAAACAGG
rnacentral:rRNA from 1 species